ACUUUUAUAGGAUAGAAGUAAUCCAUUGGCCUUAGGAGCCAAAAAAUUGGUGCAACUC
rnacentral:tRNA from 1 species